rnacentral:rRNA from 1 species
AUUGAACGCUGGCGGCAGGCUUAACACAUGCAAGUCGAGCGGGGUGAUGGUGCUUGCACUAUCACUUAGCGGCGGACGGGUGAGUAAUGCUUAGGCAUCUGCCUACUAGUGGGGGACAACACCUCGAAAGGGAUGCUAAUACCGAAUACGUCCGACGGGAGAAAGCAGGGGAUCAAUUGUGACCUUGCGCGAAUAGAUGAGCCUAAGUCGGAUUAGCUAGUUGGUGGGGUAAAGGCCUACCAAGGCGACGAUCUGUAGCGGGUCUGAGAGGAUGAUCCGGCACACUGGGACUGAGACACGGCCCAGACUCCUACGGGAGGCAGCAGUGGGGAAUAUUGGACAAUGGGGGGAACCCUGAUCCAGCCAUGCCGCGUGUGUGAAGAAGGCCUUAUGGUUGUAAAGCACUUUAAGCGAGGAGGAGGCUCUUUUGGUUAAUACCCAAGAUGAGUGGACGUUACUCGCAGAAUAAGCACCGGCUAACUCUGUGCCAGCCGCCGCCGUAA